AAAAAAAAAAGGAAUUCUUAACUGAAGAAUCUCAAAAGGCUGAGAAGCACCUAAAGAAAUGUUCACCAUCCUUAGUCAUCAAGGAAAUGCAAAGCAAAGCUCCCCUGAGAUUACACCGAUAAGAAUGUCUAAGGUUAAUAGCUCAGGGGACAGCAGAUGCUGGCAUGGAUGUGGAAAAAGAGGAAUAGCCCUUCAUUGCUGGUGGGAUUGCAAGCUGGUACAAUCACUAGCCUGUCUUAAAAUGUUCUCUGAUGAUGAAAGUAGUCCAAAACUGUUCAACUAGCCUCAGGCAUAUUUUUAGAACAGGAAAGCAGCCAUAUUAAUUGCUGAAAGUCCACAAUACCAGUCUCCAACCCAGUUGCAAAUAGUUUCCCCCUCUAUAAAUUCUUCAGCUGGGCAUCUAUAGUCCACAUUAUUCGCUGCACAUCCUCACAUGUUCCUACCAGGUUGUCUCCCAAUAAACCUCACUUACAGCAUCUAACUACUUUCUGACUUCAAAGUCCCACAGUCUUUAACAAAACAAAGCACACAAAACCAGUAUAGUCAGGCUUGUCAUAACAAUAGGUCACUCCUCCUUUUUUUGUCAACUUUUGUCUCAGUGAUUUUUUCUAUUUCUUUGAUAAGAUACUGCGAUCAAAGUAACUGAUAAAAGGAAGACAUUUCUAGAUGUUUUACAGGUUCUGAAGGUUAGGAUCCAUGACCAUCAUGGUGGGAAGCGUGGCAGCAGGUAUGCAGGCAGGCAUGACACAGGGGAAGUAGCUGAGUGCUUAUCUACUAACAUAUAAGCAAGAGAUAGAGAAAGUAAACUGGGAACAGCAUGGACUUUUUGAAACCCAAAAUCUUGCUCUUAAUGACAAACAUUCUCCAACAAAAUCAUACCUCCUAACUCUUCCUGUUUAGUUCAACUACCUAGGAUCAGGCCUUCAAAUACAUAAGUUCAUCACAGGGACUAACAAUGUGUUAAGAUCUGUAGUCCAAACUUCUAGCCAUGUGCCUAGCAUGUAAUAUAUAUUAAUAAUUUGUAAAUGCAUAUUUUCAAUUAUUAUUAAUGUUUUUUAAUCAACAGUAUGUGCAGGACUUAAUGAAGUACUAUAUACAUAGCUUGUAGAUAAUUGAUGCAAAAAUAUUUUGAUAAUGGUAUUGACAUAUUUGUGAGUCUAAGAGAAUUACUUUUAGAUUUUUUGAUGUUGUUUCUUGUUUUCUUUUUUCUUUUCGUUGUUUCUCAAACAGGUUCUUAACUGUGUAACCUUGGCUAGCCUGAAACUCACUAUGUAAAAUAAGCUCUUUGUAAACUUGGAGCUUUUUCAUUUUCUAUGGUGGUAUGAGAAAGUGACUGAGGUAAAAUUUGACUCUAGUUAUUUGGGAUGUCCCAAGUUCUUCCACACAAACACAGAUCAUUAUUAUACCAGAUGUGGAAAAAACACUGGAUCACACAAACAUCUCUGUUUUUGACUGUCUGUAUCUUUCUGAAUAAAGAGGGAAACAUCCCUAAACAGUAAGAGGAGAUGAGCUAGAAGACAGUUUGGUAUUUUUUAGAGGUUUACUUCAGUCACAAAUGACAUGGAGAAUUUACGCUUUAAUUAAAUAGUUAUAGAAAAUGAUUAGGCCCUGAGGAACACUCUCAGAAGUGAAGAUUUUCUAUGUAUACCUUGAGAGUUGUAGUAGAAUAAAACAUGUCACAUUAUCGAAUUCCUUUUGCUUGUUUGCAUAGGAGACAGGGUAUCAGAAUUGAAUCAUUUGGCUUUUUAGCCCUAAGUUGGAGAAGCAUUCAAAAGAGGCGGCUGCAAAGAAAAAGUUAAUUAAAAAUAAACCACCCAGAAGAGAUC
rnacentral:lncRNA from 1 species